rnacentral:rRNA from 1 species
AACGCUGGCGGUCUGCUUAACACAUGCAAGUCGAACGCAACCUUCGGGUUGAGUGGCGGACGGGUGAGUAACGCGUGAGAAUCUGCCUUGGGGUCGGGGACAACCACUGGAAACGGUGGCUAAUACCGGAUAAGCCUUUGGGUAAAAGAUUUAUUGCCCCAAGAGGAGCUCGCGUCUGAUUAGCUAGUUGGUGAGGUAAGAGCUCACCAAGGCAGCGAUCAGUAGCUGGUCUGAGAGGACGAUCAGCCACACUGGGACUGAGACACGGCCCAGACUCCUACGGGAGGCAGCAGUGGGGAAUUUUCCGCAAUGGGCGAAAGCCUGACGGAGCAAGACCGCGUGAGGGAGGAAGGCUCUUGGGUUGUAAACCUCUUUUCUCAGGGAAGAAGCUCUGACGGUACCUGAGGAAUCAGCCUCGGCUAACUCCGUGCCAGCAGCCGCGGUAAUACGGAGGAGGCAAGCGUUAUCCGGAAUUAUUGGGCGUAAAGCGUCCGCAGGUGGCGAUUCAAGUCUGCUGUCAAAGCACGGGGCUUAACUCCGUUAAGGCAGUGGAAACUGAAUAGCUAGAGUGCCGUAGGGGUAGAGGGAAUUCCCGGUGUAGCGGUGAAAUGCGUAGAGAUCGGGAAGAACAUCGGUGGCGAGAGCGCUCUACUGGACGGCAACUGACACUCAGGGACGAAAGCUAGGGGAGCGAAUGGGAUUAGAUACCCCAGUAGUCCUAGCUGUAAACGAUGGAUACUAGGUGUAGCUUGUAUCGACCCGAGCUGUGCCGAAGCUAACGCGUUAAGUAUCCCGCCUGGGGAGUACGCACGCAAGUGUGAAACUCAAAGGAAUUGACGGGGGCCCGCACAAGCGGUGGAGUAUGUGGUUUAAUUCGAUGCAACGCGAAGAACCUUACCAGGGCUUGACAUGUC